CCUACGGGGCAGCAGUGGGGAAUCUUGCGCAAUGGGCGAAAGCCUGACGCAGCAACGCCGCGUGCGGGAAGAAGGCUUUCGGGCUGUAAACCGCUUUCAGCAGGAACGAAAAUGACGGUACCUGCAGAAGAAGGAGCGGCCAACUAUGUGCCAGCAGCCGCGGUGAUACAUAGGCUUCAAGCGUUGUCCGGAUUUAUUGGGCGUAAAGAGUUCGUAGGCGGUCGAGUAAGUCGGGUGUGAAAAUUCUGGGCUCAACCCAGAGACGCCACCCGAUACUGCUUGACUUGAGUUCGAUAGGGGAGUGGGGAAUUCCUAGUGUAGCGGUGAAAUGCGCAGAUAUUAGGAGGAACACCGGUGGCGAAGGCGCCACUCUGGAUCGAUACUGACGCUGAGGAACGAAAGCAUGGGUAGCAAACAGGAUUAGAUACCCUGGUAGUCCAUGCCGUAAACGGUGGGCACUAGGUGUGGGUUUCUAUUAACGAAAUCCGCGCCGUCGCUAACGCAUUAAGUGCCCCGCCUGGGGAGUACGGUCGCAAGACUAAAACUCAAAGGAAUUGACGG
rnacentral:rRNA from 1 species